UACGUAGGGGGCAAGCGUUGUCCGGAUUUAUUGGGCGUAAAGAGCGUGUAGGCGGUUAGGUAGGUCCGUUGGGAAAACUCGAGGCUCAACCUCGAGACGCCGAUGGAAACCAUCUGACUAGAGUCCGGAAGAGGAGAGUGGAAUUCCUGGUGUAGCGGUGAAAUGCGCAGAUAUCAGGAAGAACACCCGUGGCUAAGGCGGCUCUCUAGUACGGUACUGACGCUGAGACGCGAAAGCGUGGGGAGCGAGCAGG
rnacentral:rRNA from 1 species